UUAGAUAUUCCAGUACAACAAAUAUCCGCCAGGGGACUACGAGCGCCAGCUUAAAACCCAAAGGACUUGGCGGUGCUUCAGACCCCCCUAGAGGAGCCUGUUCUAGAACCGAUAACCCCCGUUCAACCUCACUACUCCUUGCUUUUCCCGCCUAUAUACCACCGUCGCCAGCUUACCCUGUGAAGGUACUACAGUAAGCAGAAUGAGUAAUACUCAAAACGUCAGGUCGAGGUGUAGCGUACGAAGUAGGAAGAAAUGGGCUACAUUAUCUGAUCCAGAUUAUUCACGGAAGGUUGUCUGAAACGACAAUCCGAAGGUGGAUUUAGCAGUAAAGGGGGAAUAGAGUGCCCCCUUGAAGCCGGCUCUGAAGCGCGCACACACCGCCCGUCACUCUCCCCAACAACCGCCUACACCAAGGUAAAUAACACAACAUCCGUCACAAGGGGAGGCAAGUCGUAACAUGGUAAGUGUACCGGAAGGUGCACUUGGAAUAA
rnacentral:rRNA from 1 species